rnacentral:misc_RNA from 1 species
GUCAAUGCAAAUUAUUUUUUACGAAAGUUUAUAUUUAUCAGGGUUUGAAUGCUAUUCUGGAUCAUCGUGCUGAGGUCUUCAUUCCAGAGCUUGGCCUUACUUUUAAAUGUCCAUCAUCUUUCAGAGUCUUUGCUUGUCAAAAUCCUUUUUCUCAAGGUGGUGGCAGAAAAGGCCUUCCAAGAUCCUUUUUAAACCGUUUCACCAAGGUGUACAUAGAUGAACUAGUUGAGGAUGAUUACUUAUUCAUCUCUAGCUCCCUUUAUCCCUCAAUCCCGAGGCCUGUGCUUUCAAAGCUAAUUUUUUUCAAUAAAAGAUUACAUGAAGAUACCAUGCUACAUCACAAGUUUGCUCAAGAUGGAUCCCCGUGGGAGUUUAAUUUGCGUGAUGUGAUUCGCUCAUGCGAGAUCAUUCAAGGUGCUCCAGAUAAGUUGAAAAUUGAUUGCUUUCUUGACAUUAUUUAUGUUCAAAGAAUGCGUACUCCUACUGAUCGGAAGGAAGUUCUACAGCUGUAUGAAGAAGUCUUUGGGAUCAAGCCAUCGAUAAAUCCUUACCCUCGAGUACAGCUUAAUUCUAAAUACUUAAUCGUGGGAAAUACUGCUGUUAAAAGAAACAGUUUCCGGCCAUCUAAGCUUAAGAGUAGUCAGUUGACUAUUAUGCCUAAUAUUCGCCAUAGCUUGGAAGCUGCCUUGCGUUGUGUACAGCAUCAGUGGUUGUGCAUCUUGGUUGGUCCACCGUCAUCUGGCAAGACUUCUUUGAUAAGAUUAUUGGCUGAGCUCACUGGCAAUGUACUAAAUGAGCUAAACCUUUCAUCUGCAACUGAUAUAUCUGAAUUACUUGGAUGCUUUGAGCAAUAUGAUGCUUACCGCAACUUUAGGUCCAUUUGUGCUCAAGUUGAGUGCUAUGUUUCAG